rnacentral:piRNA from 1 species
UGUGAACUCUAGCUUUCAGGCUGAGCCU